rnacentral:rRNA from 1 species
UACGGAGGGGGCUAGCGUUGUUCGGAAUUACUGGGCGUAAAGCGCACGUAGGCGGCUUUGUAAGUUAGAGGUGAAAGCCCGGGGCUCAACUCCGGAAUUGCCUUUAAGACUGCAUCGCUAGAAUUGUGGAGAGGUAAGUGGAAUUCCGAGUGUAGAGGUGAAAUUCGUAGAUAUUCGGAAGAACACCAGUGGCGAAGGCGACUUACUGGACACAUAUUGACGCUGAGGUGCGAAAGCCAGGGGAGCAAACGGG